UACGAAGGGGGCUAGCGUUGUUCGGAAUUACUGGGCGUAAAGCGCACGUAGGCGGGUCAUUAAGUCAGGGGUGAAAUCCCGGGGCUCAACCUCGGAAUUGCCUCUGAUACUGGUGGCCUUGAGUCCGAGAGAGGUGAGUGGAACUCCGAGUGUAGAGGUGAAAUUCGUAGAUAUUCGGAAGAACACCAGUGGCGAAGGCGGCUCACUGGCUCGGUACUGACGCUGAGGUACGAAAGCAUGGGGAGCAAACAGG
rnacentral:misc_RNA from 1 species